rnacentral:tRNA from 1 species
GGAGGGGUCGGAUAACGGUUAUUCCACCAGUCUUGAAAACUGGAAUCCCGCAAGGGAUUUGUGGGUUCAAAUCCCACCCCCUCCG